CGCAUCUGUGCAUGCAGCAUAUCAAUAAGCGGAGGAAAAGAAACUAACAAGGAUUCCCCUAGUAACGGCGAGUGAAGCGGGAAGAGCUCAAAUUUGAAAUCUUAAAGGGUUUCCCUUUACGAAUUGUAGUUUAAAGAAGUGUUUUCUGUUGAGGUUUUGGUAAAAGUUCUUUGGAAUAGGACAUCAUAGAGGGUGAGAAUCCCGUAUUUGACCUUUACUUUCAACUUUGUGAUACACUUUCAAAGAGUCGGAUUGUUUGGGAAUGCAGUCCAAAAUGGGUGGUAAAUUUCAUCUAAAGCUAAAUAUUGGCGAGAGACCGAUAGCGAACAAGUACCGUGAGGGAAAGAUGAAAAGAACUUUGAAAAGAGAGUUAAACAGUACGUGAAAUUGUCAAAAGGGAAGCGUUUGACACCAGUGUUGUUUUUCUGAAAAUCAAUUAAAGAACUGCUUAUGCUAAGCUGUUUAGACUUUAUCAGCUAACUGUUUAGUUUUGAGCUUUUCUUUAAUGCACUUUUCAGUUAACAAGUCAACAUCAAUUUCUUUUGCUGUAAAAAAGCUUGAGGAAGGUGGCUUGAGAUUCGUCUUAAGUGUUUAUAGCCUCUUGCCUAUGCAGUCGGAGAGAUUGAGGUCUGCAGCGUAGAUCCUUCGGGGCUAAAUGCAUUUGUGCUAAGUUAUAGCAUUUUAUAGACAACUUGUUGACUAUGAUUUGUCUUGUAGCUUACUCGCUUAUGUUAUUUUACCUACGCUUAGGAUGUUGAGCGCAUGUCUCUCUCU
rnacentral:rRNA from 1 species